rnacentral:rRNA from 1 species
GACGAACGCUGGCGGCGUGCUUAACACAUGCAAGUCGAACGGAAAGGCCCUGCUUUUGUGGGGUGCUCGAGUGGCGAACGGGUGAGUAACACGUGAGUAACCUGCCCUUGACUUUGGUAUAACUUCAGGAAACUGGGGCUAAUACCGGAUAGGAGCUCCUGCUGCAUGGUGGGGGUUGGAAAGUUUCGGCGGUUGGGGAUGGACUCGCGGCUUAUCAGCUUGUUGGUGGGGUAGUGGCUUACCAAGGCUUUGACGGGUAGCCGGCAUGAGAGGGUGACCGGCCACCAUGGGACUGAGAUACGGACCAGACUCCUACGGGAGGCAGCAGUGGGGAAUAUUGCACAAUGGGAGGAAGCCUGAUGCAGCAACGUCGCGUGCGGGAUGACGGCCUUCGGGUUGUAAACCGCUUUCGCCUGUGACGAAGCGUGAGUGACGGUAAUGGGUAAAGAAGCACCGGCUAACUACGUG